GACGAACGCUGGCGGCGUGCCUAACACAUGCAAGUCGAACGGAAAGGCCACCUUGUGGGGUACUUGAGUGGCGAACGGGUGAGUAACACGUGAGUUACCUACCCUUGCCUUUGGGAUAGGUUCAGGACAGUGGGGCUAAUACCGGAUAGGAGCUUAUGCUGCAUGGUGGGGGUUGGAAAGUAUCGGCGGUUUGGGAUGGACUCACGGCUUAUCAGCUUGUUGGUGGGGUAGUGGCUCACCAAGGCGCUGACGGGUAGCCCGCCUGUGAGGGUACCCGGCCACAUUAGGACUGAGAUACGGCCCAGUCUCGUACGGGAGGCAGCGGGGGGGAAUAUUACACAGUGAGCGGGAGCGUGAUGCGGCAGCGCCGCGUUCGGGAUGCCGUCCUUCGGGUUGUGAACCGCUUUCGCCUGAGACGAAGCGUGAGUGACGGUAAUGGAUAAAGAAGCACCGGCUAACUACGUG
rnacentral:rRNA from 1 species